rnacentral:misc_RNA from 1 species
GAUGAAGAACGCAGCGAAAUGCGAUAAGUAGUGUGAAUUGCAGAAUUCAGUGAAUCAUCGAAUCUUUGAACGCACAUUGCGCCUUCUAGUAUUCUGGGAGGCAUGCCUGUUUGAGCGUCAUUACAACCCUCAAGCUCAGCUUGGUGUUGGGCCCCGCCGCCCCGGCGGGCCCUAAAGUCAGUGGCGGUGCCGUCCGGCUCCGAGCGUAGUAAUUCUUCUCGCUCUGGAGGUCCGGUCGUGUGCUCGCCAGCAACCCCCAAUUUUUUUCAGGUUGACCUCGGAUCAGGUAGGGAUACCCGCUGAACUUAAGCAUAUCAAUAAGCGGAGGA